UACGAAGGGGGGCUAGCGUUGCUCGGAAUCACUGGGCGUAAAGCGCACGUAGGCGGAUUGCUAAGUCAGGGGUGAAAUCCUGGAGCUCAACUCCAGAACUGCCUUUGAUACUGGCGACCUUGAGUCCGGGAGAGGUGAGUGGAACUGCGAGUGUAGAGGUGAAAUUCGUAGAUAUUCGCAAGAACACCAGUGGCGAAGGCGGCUCACUGGCCCGGGUACUGACGCUGAGGUGCGAAAGCGUGGGGAGCAAACAGG
rnacentral:rRNA from 1 species